rnacentral:rRNA from 1 species
UGGCAUGGGGGCGGCUACACAUGCAGUCGAGCGAACCUUCGGGUUAGCGGCGGACGGGUGAGUAACGCGUGGGAACGUACCCUCUUCUGCGGGAUAGCCACUGGAAACGGUGAGUAAUACCGCAUACGCCCUUCGGGGGAAAGAUUUAUCGGAGGAGGAUCGGCCCGCGUUGGAUUAGGUAGUUGGUGGGGUAAUGGCCUACCAAGCCUACGAUCCAUAGCUGGUUUUAGAGGAUGAUCAGCCACACUGGGACUGAGACACGGCCCAGACUCCUACGGGAGGCAGCAGUGGGGAAUCUUAGACAAUGGGCGCAAGCCUGAUCUAGCCAUGCCGCGUGAGUGACGAAGGCCUUAGGGUCGUAAAGCUCUUUCGCCAGAGAUGAUAAUGACAGUAUCUGGUAAAGAAACCCCGGCUAACUCCGUGCCAGCAGCCGCGGUAAUACGGAGGGGGUUAGCGUUGUUCGGAAUUACUGGGCGUAAAGCGCACGUAGGCGGAUUGGAAAGUUGGGGGUGAAAUCCCAGGGCUCAACCCUGGAACUGCCUCCAAAACUCCCAGUCUGGAGUUCGAGAGAGGUGAGUGGAAUUCCGAGUGUAGAGGUGAAAUUCGUAGAUAUUCGGAGGAACACCAGUGGCGAAGGCGGCUCACUGGCUCGAUACUGAC